GACAGAGGGUGCAAACGUUGCUCGGAAUCACUGGGCGUAAAGGGCGCGUAGGCGGACAAGUAAGUCGGGCGUGAAAUCCCUAGGCUCAACCUAGGAACUGCACUCGAAACUGCAUGUCUUGAGUACCGGAGAGGAAAGCGGAAUACCUGGUGUAGAGGUGAAAUUCGUAGAUAUCAGGUGGAACACCAGUGGCGAAGGCGGCUUUCUGGACGGUAACUGACGCUGAGGCGCGAAAGCGUGGGGAGCAAACAGG
rnacentral:rRNA from 2 species